rnacentral:rRNA from 1 species
AACGAACGCUGGCGGCAUGCCUAACACAUGCAAGUCGAACGAAGGCUUCGGCCUUAGUGGCGCACGGGUGCGUAACGCGUGGGAAUCUGCCCUUUGGUUCGGAAUAACAGCUGGAAACGGCUGCUAAUACCGGAUGAUGACGAAAGUCCAAAGAUUUAUCGCCAGAGGAUGAGCCCGCGUUGGAUUAGGUAGUUGGUGGGGUAAAGGCCUACCAAGCCGACGAUCCAUAGCUGGUCUGAGAGGAUGAUCAGCCACACUGGGACUGAGACACGGCCCAGACUCCUACGGGAGGCAGCAGUGGGGAAUAUUGGACAAUGGGCGCAAGCCUGAUCCAGCAAUGCCGCGUGAGUGAUGAAGGCCCUAGGGUUGUAAAGCUCUUUUACCCGGGAAGAUAAUGACUGUACCGGAGAAUAAGCCCCGGCUAACUCCGUG